AACAAGAAGAAUAUUUUUCACAUAAUUUAACAAAAUAUGAUCAAACUCCUUUUUUAAGAGGCUCAUUUUCGUUACAUCUCACGAUCUUCUAAAAUUUUUAUAUUUAACAAAUGUUACAAACAUGAGAGGCUUGUGCACCGAUAGUAUUGGAAGAAAAACAAGCACCAAAAAGAAAAUAUUGGAACCGAACUUCACAAUCUGCUUGAAAUCUGCUUGACUAGAAGUAAGUGCAUCAUGCAAUUACAUGUGUUAAGUAAUUUAGAAGUACCACUUCAAAGGAAAUUUCGACCAAAUUUAGAAAUUCAUUUCAAUUCUGAAUGGAACGGCAGGUUACACAAACUUGGACCACUAGCCUUGAAAUAAAAUUGAAAACUCAAAACAAAGUUAGGCUGGAUAUCUGGCCUGAAUCCUCAAAUGAAUACAGUACUCCAUAAUUACUUUAGUACAGAAUAAUGACCUAGUGAACAAGUAAUUGAAAGUUGUUAACAGUGUAAAAAAAUUGCUUAUAAAUAUGUCAUUAUUAUGCAAAACUGGACAAUUUUAAGUACUUCAUUGAUGACAAUGAAACUAAAGAUUACUAAAUUUUGAUAAAAUAAAUUUUCUGCUGUUCAAGUUUACACGCGAUGUGUCUUUGCAAAUUGAAACCUCGUGGAUGAAAGGGACAUCACAUGUAACUUGAAGGGAGCAAAGUUUUUUAACCGUGGAUUUUCAAGUUCAAUUUGGACGCAUGUUAACCUUGCCCAAAAGAUGAUUAGCAUAAAACAUUUUAUCCUAAUGACAAAAUAAAUAACUGGAACCCGUACCGUUUUGUGUUAAAGCAAUGCUUGACCAAAUGAUUCUCCUGAGGUAAGAAAAGAGACAACAUAUUCUGUUUCA
rnacentral:lncRNA from 1 species